GACGAACGCUGGCGGCGUGCCUAAUACAUGCAAGUCGAGCGAAGUUUUUCUGGUGCUUGCACUAGAAAAACUUAGCGGCGCACGGGUGAGUAACACGUAAAGAACCUGCCUCAUAGACUGGGACAACUAUUGGAAACGAUAGCUAAUACCGGAUAACAGUGUUUCUCGCAUGAGAGAUAUUUAAAAGUUGGUUAUGCUAGCACUAUGAGAUGGCUUUGCGGUGCAUUAGCUAGUUGGUGGGGUAAAGGCCCACCAAGGCGACGAUGCAUAGCCGACCUGAGAGGGUGAUCGGCCACACCGGGACUGAGACACGGCCCAGACUCCUACGGGAGGCAGCAGUAGGGAAUCUUCCGCAAUGGGCGAAAGCCUGACGGAGCAACGCCGCGUGAGUGAAGAAGGAUUUCGGUUCGUAAAGCUCUGUUGUUAGGGAAGAAUGGAUAUGUAGUAACUAUACAUGUAAGAGACGGUACCUAACCAGAAAGCCACGGCUAACUACGUG
rnacentral:rRNA from 1 species